UACGGGGGGGGCAAGCGUUGUUCGGAAUUACUGGGCGUAAAGGGCUCGUAGGCGGCCAACUAAGUCAGACGUGAAAUCCCUCGGCUUAACCGGGGAACUGCGUCUGAUACUGGAUGGCUUGAGACCGGGAGAGGUGAGUGGAAUUCCCAGUGUAGCGGUGAAAUGCGUAGAUAUUGGGAGGAACACCAGUGGCGAAGGCGGCUCACUGGACCGGAACUGACGCUGAGGCGCGAAAGCGUGGGGAGCAAACGGG
rnacentral:rRNA from 1 species